UGCUUCUCUUGAGAGCGGCGGACGGGUGAGUAAUGCCUAGGAAUCUGCCUGGUAGUGGGGGAUAACGUUCGGAAACGGACGCUAAUACCGCAUACGUCCUACGGGAGAAAGCAGGGGACCUUCGGGCCUUGCGCUAUCAGAUGAGCCUAGGUCGGAUUAGCUAGUUGGUGGGGUAAUGGCUCACCAAGGCGACGAUCCGUAACUGGUCUGAGAGGAUGAUCAGUCACACUGGAACUGAGACACGGUCCAGACUCCUACGGGAGGCAGCAGUGGGGAAUAUUGGACAAUGGGCGAAAGCCUGAUCCAGCCAUGCCGCGUGUGUGAAGAAGGUCUUCGGAUUGUAAAGCACUUUAAGUUGGGAGGAAGGGUUGUAGAUUAAUACUCUGCAAUUUUGACGUUACCGACAGAAUAAGCACCGGCUAACUCUGUGCCAGCAGCCGCGGUAAUACAGAGGGUGCAAGCGUUAAUCGGAAUUACUGGGCGUAAAGCGCGCGUAGGUGGUUUGUUAAGUUGGAUGUGAAAUCCCCGGGCUCAACCUGGGAACUGCAUUCAAAACUGACUGACUAGAGUAUGGUAGAGGGUGGUGGAAUUUCCUGUGUAGCGGUGAAAUGCGUAGAUAUAGGAAGGAACACCAGUGGCGAAGGCGACCACCUGGACUAAUACUGACACUG
rnacentral:rRNA from 1 species